UUUUUUUUUUUUUUUUGAGAGAGAGAUAGAUAGCACGCUACCCGCUUCGUUUAUUUUAUUUAGAAAUAAACUUAGCUGGAAAUGUGAAUCAACUAGGAUUCGAACUUAGGUCUCGGGUACCAACCAUCAAGCCCUUUGCCACUUGCUCUAGGGACGGUCGGUUCGAAUCCAAUAUUGUUGGAUUUGAUCGGAGCUUAUCCUAACCACUUU
rnacentral:lncRNA from 1 species